GUUUUACCCUACUGAUGCCCG
rnacentral:siRNA from 1 species